rnacentral:rRNA from 1 species
GACGAACGCUGGCGGCGUGCUUAACACAUGCAAGUCGAACGGAAAGGCCCUGCUUUUGUGGGGUGCUCGAGUGGCGAACGGGUGAGUAACACGUGAGUAACCUGCCCUUGACUUUGGGAUAACUUCAGGAAACUGGGGCUAAUACCGGAUAGGAGCUCCUGCUGCAUGGUGGGGGUUGGAAAGUUUCGGCGGUUGGGGAUGGACUCGCGGCUUAUCAGCUUGUUGGUGGGGUAGUGGCUUACCAAGGCUUUGACGGGUAGCCGGCCUGAGAGGGUGACCGGCCACAUUGGGACUGAGAUACGGCCCAGACUCCUACGGGAGGCAGCAGUGGGGAAUAUUGCACAAUGGGCGGAAGCCUGAUGCAGCAACGCCGCGUGCGGGAUGACGGCCUUCGUGUUGUAAACCGCUUUCGCCUGUGACGAAGCGUGAGUGACGGUAAUGGGUAAAGAAGCACCAGCUAACUACGUG